CCCUUAGAUGUUCUGGGCCGCACACGCGCUACACUGGCAGGUUCAUCGAGCUUCAUGCCCUGAUCUGAGAAGAACGGGAAAUCUUUGAACACCUGCCGUGCUUGGGAUAGAUGUUUGCAAUUAUUCAUCCUCAACGAGGAUUGCCUUGUAAGCGCACGUCAUCAGCGUGCAUUGAAUACGACCCUGUAUUCUGUACACACCGCCCGUCGCUCCUACCGAUUGAAGUUUUCGGUGAAUUUACUGGAGAUCCCUUUUGAAGGUGGUUCGCCACUGGAAGAAGUAUUCAAAAGUAAAUGAAUCGAAUGCUUUAGAGGAAGGAGAAGUCGUAACA
rnacentral:rRNA from 1 species